rnacentral:lncRNA from 1 species
UCUUCUUCACACAAUACUGCCUUCUCUUCCUGUACCUGAACUAUGUACUUUGCAGAAGCCUGCAACUUCUCAAUCACAAGCUGAGUUAAGAGCGAAUACGCGCAAAGCUACUCUUGUUCACGCAGCAGCGAUGCCUUCUCUUCCUGUACCUGAACAUUACAGUCUACAGAAGCCUUCAACUUCUCAAUCACAAGCUGAGUUAAGAGCGAAGACGCGCAAAGCUACUCUUGUUCACGCAGCAGCGAUACCUUCUCUUCCUGUACCUGAACAUUACAGUCUACUCAAGCCUUCAACUUCUCAAUCACAAGCUGAGGUAAGAACGUUGACACACAAAGCUACCCAUGUUCACACAGCGAUGCCUU